rnacentral:rRNA from 1 species
AUUGAACGCUGGCGGCAGGCCUAACACAUGCAAGUCGAGCGGAUGAAGGGAGCUUGCUCCUGGAUUCAGCGGCGGACGGGUGAGUAAUGCCUAGGAAUCUGCCUGGUAGUGGGGGAUAACGUCCGGAAACGGGUGCUAAUACCGCAUACGUCCUGAGGGUGAAAGUGGGGGAUCUUCGGACCUCACGCUAUCAGAUGAGCCUAGGUCGGAUUAGCUAGUUGGUGGGGUAAAGGCCUACCAAGGCGGCGAUCCGUAACUGGUCUGAGAGGAUGAGCAGUCACACUGGAACUGAGACACGGUCCAGACUGCUACGGGAGGCAGCAGGAGGGAAUAUGGGACAAGGGGCGGAAGCCUGAUCCAGCCAUGCCGCGUGUGUGAAGAAGGUCUUCGGAUUGUAAAGCACUUUAAGUUGGGAGGAAGGGCAGUAAGUUAAUACCUUGCUGUUUUGACGGUACCAACAGAAUAAGCACCGGCUAACUUCGUG